rnacentral:rRNA from 1 species
GUAUAGAAAGUUACUUCGGUACAUUCGGUGACAGGUGGUGCAUGGUUGUCGUCAGCUCGUGUCGUGAGAUGUAGGGUUAAGUCCGCUAACGAGCGCAACCCUCGCUGUGUGUUAUAUGUGUCACACGGGACUGCCGGUCUUAAGCCGGAGGAAGGUGGGAUGAUGUCAAGUCAGCAUGGCCUUUAUAUCCUGGGCUACACACACGCUACAAUGGCCAACACAAUAGGUUGCUAAGCCGCGAGGUGGCGCCAAUCCAUAAAGUUGGUCUCAGUUCAGAUUGUAGGCUGCAACCCGCCUGCAUGAAGAUGGAGUUGCUAGUAACCGCAGGUCGGCUAUACUGCGGUGAAUACGUUCCCGGGGCCUU